rnacentral:rRNA from 1 species
UCGGGAAUUUUGGGCAAUGGGCGAAAGCCUGACCCAGCAACGCCGCGUGAAGGAUGAAGUAUUUCGGUAUGUAAACUUCGAAAGAAUAGGAAGAAUAAAUGACGGUACUAUUUAUAAGGUCCGGCUAACUACGUGCCAGCAGCCGCGGUAAUACGUAGGGACCAAGCGUUGUUCGGAUUUACUGGGCGUAAAGGGCGCGUAGGCGGCAAUUCAAGUCAUCUGUGAAAUCUCCGGGCUUAACUCGGAACGGUCAGAUGAUACUGCUUUGCUAGAGUGCAGAAGGGGCAAUCGGAAUUCUUGGUGUAGCGGUGAAAUGCGUAGAUAUCAAGAGGAACACCUGAGGUGAAGACGGGUUGCUGGGCUGACACUGACGCUGAGACGCGAAAGCCAGGGGAGCAAACGGGAUUAGAUACCCUCGUAGUCCCUGAGCGGGCUGGCAAGGCGCAU